rnacentral:rRNA from 1 species
CCUACGGGAGGCAGCAGUGAGGAAUAUUGGUCAAUGGGCGGGAGCCUGAACCAGCCAAGUCGCGUGAGGGAAGACGGUCCUAUGGAUUGUAAACCUCUGUAGGCGGGGAGCAAGGCCGGGCACGCGUGCCCGGAGGGAGAGUACCCGCAGAAUAAGCAGCGGCUCACUCCGUACCAGCAGCCGCGGUAAUACGGAGGAUGCGAGGGUUAGCCGGAUUGAUUGGGUUUAAAGGGUGCGUAGGCGGAUUUUUAAGUCAGCGGUAAAAUGUCCGGGCUCAACCCGGGCCGGCCGUUGAAACUGGGGAUCUUGAGUGGGCGAGACGUAUGCGGAAUGCGUGGUGUAGCGGUGAAAUGCAUAGAUAUCACGCAGAACUCCGAUUGCGAAGGCAGCAUACCGGCGCCCGACUGACGCUGAGGCACGAAAGCGUGGGGAUCGAACAGGAUUAGAUACCCUGGUAGUC